CUUUCAGUCUGGUGUUUGCUGC
rnacentral:ncRNA from 2 species